GAUUGAACCUGCGUCCGUGUUGAACCUCUGAGCCGCAACGGGAACGCCCGCCUUUGCCCAUUUUCGAAUCGGGUUGUUUGUCUUUUUUCCCUUGGGUUGUAAGAGUCCUUUAUAUAUUCUGGAUACUGGGCCCUUAUGGGACAGUUCCUUCAGGGCUUUGACCUGUUGGGAGCUGAUUUUGAAUAUCGUGUGCGGUGGGGUUUGAUUCCUUCCUUGGCGUGGGGCUGGCCAGGCGCAGAGGAGGAGGUGACACUCCUGAGAGAUCCGCGCUCUGGCCGGACAUGGGGCUCUAGGCCCGAAGGUCCCAGUCGCCCGCCUGUGCCAGACAUAGUCACUGCUGGCCUCAGAAGCAACUGCGCAGCUUCCAAAAGCACACGCCAGGCCCUGCCACUCCAGAUUCGGAUUCAGAAACUGGGGGAGGGCCCAGGAAACCGUGUUCGAUGCGGCUCCCCAGCAGCUCGAUUGUACAGCCGGGUUUGGGAGCCGAGGGGACUGGCAAGUCCGGCUCUUUUGAUCCACGUGCCUUCUUGCUUCGUCCCCUGACCAGACUGUGUGUCUCUGGGCUGGACAAAGGCCACGGCUCCCGGUGCCAGGGGAGCCCCCCCAGACCUGCCAACCCUCCCUCUUUUCCGCUGCACUUCCAAUCUCUCUUCCUAUUGGCGUCUUCCUGGUUCGCCUCUACCAGCUCCCUGAGCCCAGCUAUCCGAGGAACUUUAAAAGUAUCGACGUGUAAGAGUGAGGAGUGGGCUGCACUAAAGGGUAAGCUACUGCGUCGGUCGUAUUUCCAGACGCGCUACGAGAGCACACACUUGUGUCAUCACAGGGCAUGUGUGCCUCUCACAGGCAGGUGGUUAAGGCUUUCAUCGCGGUGCGUGGAUGGACGCCGUCAGCGCGCCGAGACAGGGCCGAGAAAGGCAUCUCGUCUCUUCCUUCUUCUCCCCCCAUUUUACAGACGGGGACGUUGAGGCCAAGGCGCAUGGAUCACAGAUGACUCGGAGGAUGCCUGGCCCCUCGCCGCUCUCACUCGAGGGCGACCUCACCCAGGCCUGGUCAGCCCAGUCUCACCUCCUGGCUCGCGCAGGCGGGACGCGGAGCCACGUGCUCCGCGGCCAGCCCCGCCCGCACCCUGCUCCGUCCACACGGCUGGAGUCUGGAGUCGCUUACCCCGAUGUUCGUGGGCUUUGCCUCUGGUGUGGAUGGUUCUGCUUCGGCUCUGCUUUGGGUCCCCCUCUAAUUGGAACAGUGCUCCAGGAGGCUGUGUGGGUGGCGGGGACCACUGGACGGGCGCAGCCUUGGUUUGACAAGGACUUCGGGCCUCUUUCAGGGACGCGGGAAGGACAGCAAGGUGGCGCCGAUUAAAAGCAGCAAAUGUUGUAAGCUGUCCAUUGUGGAAAAGUGAGGACGUACAGACCGAGGAGAAGCAAAUGAAGACACCGUACCCCGUGCCUCCAGGGUAACGACAGUCCCGUUUCAGGGCUCUUCCCUCCCGUCGCAUGUGUACAGCUGUUUCUGUAGAAAUGACAGUACGCCAACAUUCUGUGUUGCAAAUCUCUUUGUAAUCGUGAUAAAUGGGCAACGUCUUUCCAUGCUCUCAAA